AUGCUAGUUUCUGGUUGCUUAUCUGAUCAUCUUUAUCUAUCUUGUCUUAGAGAGGAAAAAAGUUGCAAUUUUUUGAGAAUUGACUUUAAUGUGUUAGCUGCUAUACAAGUGUUCAGUAUUGGGGAGCCAGUCAGUCAGCCAGUCAGUCAGUCAGCCAGUCAGCCAGUCAGAACUCUAGUGUUGGCUCGAGGCUUCUCGAGUCUUGUAGAUUUAACAAUGGCAUAACCAAGAUCUAGCUUCGUGAUAACUGUACUGUAUACAUUACAGUACAAUUCUGAUAACAGCACCACCAAGGAGGCUGAUUGGCUGAUUACAAUACCACCAAGGAGGCUGAUUGGCUGAUUACAAUACCACCAAGGAGGCUGAUUGGCUGAUUACAAUACCACCAAGGAGGCUGAUUGGCUGAUUACAAUACCACCAAGGAGGCUGAUUGGCUGAUUACAAUACCACCAAGGAGGCUGAUUGGCUGAUUACAGUACCACCAAGGAGGCUGAUUGGCUGAUUACAGUACCACCAAGGAGGCUGAUUGGCUGAUUACAAUACCACCAAGGAGGCUGAUUGGCUGAUUACAAUACCACCAAGGAGGCUGAUUGGCUGAUUACAGUACCACCAAGGAGGCUGAUUGGCUGAUUACAGUACCACCAAGGAGGCUGAUUGGCUGAUUACAAUACCACCAAGGAGGCUGAUUGGCUGAUUACAAUACCACCAAGGAGGCUGAUUGGCUGAUUACAGUACCACCAAGGAGGCUGAUUGGCUGAUUACAGUACCACCAAGGAGGCUGAUUGGCUGAUUACAAUACCACCAAGGAGGCUGAUUGGCUGAUUACAGUACCACCAAGGAGGCUGAUUGGCUGAUUACAGUACCACCAAGGAGGCUGAUUGGCUGAUUACAGUACCACCAAGGAGGCUGAUUGGCUGAUUACAGUACCACCAAGGAGGCUGAUUGGCUGAUUACAGUACCACCAAGGAGGCUGAUUGGCUGAUUACAGUACCACCAAGGAGGCUGAUUGGCUGAUUACAAUACCACCAAGGAGGCUGAUUGGCUGAUUACAGUACCACCAAGGAGGCUGAUUGGCUGAUUACAGUACCACCAAGGAGGCUGAUUGGCUAUCUGUGCUGAGCUCACACCUUGUAAAUCUGCCCACCUGACCUGACUCUACAUAAUGGGAAGUUUAGAUUUCUUCUGCUUUCUUUUUGGUUUCAAUUUUAAUAAAAAAAAAAAAGGUAAAUAAUAAUAAAUCUGUCCUGCUAUUUGAUGUUGUGUGUGUGUGUGUGUAUUACAUCACACCACUAGAGGGCAGUAUACAGCC
rnacentral:lncRNA from 1 species